AUUACUCUUCACUUUACCCAUUCUGUAGUCUUAUAGACUUCUCCGACCGUUCUUCUUUCUUCACACAAGGCGACCAUCGACCGCGGCUAGUUUUCCUCCUUGUACACCUCCUACAGGCUGGUAAAUGGCAAUGUAGGGUAUCAUGCCCAAGGAUCUGGAGCGCCAGGUCUACAAUUUGCUUGGAUCCAGCUUUAGUAUGAGCAUGCUAGUGUUGUUUUCUUCCCUGAGCGUGCAAGCCAGACCCAUGGACAAUAUUUCCACUGGAGGUAGCUCUAACGUCCUCCUCAUCCUUCAAAGCGGCAACAUUAUUCGAAUGUGAACUGCAGGUCCAUUUUUUCGCUUUUCCUUACCGUGUCAUAUUUUUCCUUUUCCUUAAGGAAAUGACUAUUAUUGAUAAUAUUUUUUUGUGCAAUUUUUGAAGAAGAUACAUAGUAGCUACUAAUAAGUUAGUCAACAUUUUGUAAUGUAAGUAUAUAUUUGAGCAGAC